rnacentral:rRNA from 1 species
AUUGAACGCUGGCGGCAGGCCUAACACAUGCAAGUCGAGCGGGGUUUUCGGACCUAGCGGCGGACGGGUGAGUAAUGCGUAGGAAGCUGCCCGAUAGAGGGGGAUACCAGUUGGAAACGACUGUUAAUACCGCAUAAUGUCUACGGACCAAAGUGUGGGACCUUCGGGCCACAUGCUAUCGGAUGCGCCUACGUGGGAGUUAGCUAGUUGGUGAGGUAAUGGCUCACCAAGGCGACGAUCUCUAGCUGGUUUGAAAGGAUGAUCAGCCACACUGGAACUGAGACACGGUGCAGACUCCUACGGGAGGCAGCAGUGGGGAAUAUUGGACAAUGGGCGCAAGCCUGAUCCAGCCAUGCCGCGUGUGUGAAGAAGGCCUUCGGGUUGUAAAGCACUUUCAGCGAGGAGGAAGGGAUGUAUGUGAAUAGCAUGCAUUUUUGACGUUACUCGCAGAAGAAGCACCGGCUAACUCUGUGCCAGCAGCCGCAGUAA